CCUGGUGGUCAUGGCGGGGAGAAAAACACCCGAUCCCAUCCCGAACUCGGCCGUGAAACUCCCCAGCGCCAAUGGUACUUCGUCAUAUAGACGCGGGAGAGUAGGUCGCCGCCAGGCCUGCAAAGCUCAGGAAACACACAAACGCAAGCGCGUCGUCGAAACAUGACCGGCGCAGCCCAACUUCACGAACACGCCUUCUCACAACGACACCCGAACAAUACCCGACACCAUACCGACCAAGACGACAUCAACCCGCCAGGCUAACCGCCGGCGGGCUAAACCCGUUCCGAAAAC
rnacentral:rRNA from 1 species